rnacentral:lncRNA from 1 species
CAAAAACUGAUUGCAAAUUCAAUCAUCCCCCUCACAAUCUUCUAAUGACUGCUCUAGCUGCAACCACCAGUAUGGGAACGCUUAGUCAAGUGCCCAUGGCACCUUCUGCGGCUGCUAUGGCUGCUGCUCAGGCAAUUGUUGCUGCACAAGCUCUUCAAGCACAUGCUGCUCAGGCACAAGCACAGUCUGGAAAAGAUUCCGCUGGUAUUUCUAGCUCUCAUUACUAUCAAUAAAUUCCUCCUAAUUGUUGAUUAUUGCGAGUUAUUCUUAAAAGUUCCUUGCUCCACUAGAACAUUGAUUCUUGAAUUUUUUUUCUGGUACUUCUAUCUCCCAUCAUUGCCCAAUAGUAAUUUAUAUUUUGGUUGUUACUGGGGUCUGUACAUAAACUUUUCUUACUUAGGUUUCUUCAAACUAUUUUGCUGCUAUAGCUUAAAGAGACCAGAUAGGCUCUUACAACUCUCUUUGUUUCUUCCCCAAUCUACUCAUCAUAAAAGAUGAUUUGUAGAAUUAAAAAUGCAUAUAGACAUUUCUGCUAGGUAUUCAUGAGAGUGUACCUCAUUCUACUUGUUCCCUUUAUGUAUCAGGUGACAAAGAUGGAAAGGCCGAAUCCCUUAAAAAAACUGUGCAAGUCAGCAAUCUCAGCCCACUUCUGACAGUGGAUCAGUUGAAACAGCUGUUUGGUUUCUGUGGUGCAAUCAUUGAUUGUAGCAUUACUGAUUCCAAACAUUUUGCUUACAUCGAAUACUCAAAACCUGAAGAAGCAACUGCUGCUUUAGCAUUGAACAAUAUAGAAGUUGGUGGUCGCCCCUUAAAUGUUGAAAUGGCAAAACAACUUCCUCCAAAGGCAGCUAUCUUAAAUUCGUCAAUGGGUUCUUCUUCUUUGCCCUUGAUGAUGCAGCAAGCCGUAGCAAUGCAGCAGAUGCAGUUCCAGCAAGCUCUAUUAAUGCAGCAAGCUAUGACUGAACAACAAGCUGCUAAUCGAGCUGCAACCAUGAAAACUGCUACAGAUUUGGCUGCCGCAAGAGCUGCAGAAAUAAGCAAGAUGUUGAAAGCAAAUGGAUUGGUUUCUGAAGAUAAGGAAACUGAUGAUAAGGCUAAGUAUGUCACCUGAAGUAUUUUUCUUAUAUGCUUAUAAUAUAUCUUAUGUGUUUGGUAAUUGAUCUAACUGGUAUCAGGAAUACCUUGUUUAAUUAUUAAAGUUGGACUUAUUGCACCUGUAGAACAUAGUCACGCCUUGUUUUUAUGAAUAAGUGUGUNCUUUAAUGUUGUAUUUGUAUCACGCAGGCAGUACGACUGGUGGGCUAUUGGGUAUAGCACCGUCAGCCACAUUUCCAAAUAUGGUCAACCAGAACAUGCCUAAUAUGCCAAAUUAUUCUGGUUCUGUAUCUGGGGCAGUCCCAGGAUUGCUUGGGAUGAUACCAGGUAUUGUUCCUGGAGCUUCUGGAGGUGUAGUUUUACCUGGGAUUGGAGCAUCUAUUGGGGAAGUUUGCCGAGAAUACCUUUACGGACGAUGUGCAAAAACUGAUUGCAAAUUCAAUCAUCCCCCUCACAAUCUUCUAAUGACUGCUCUAGCUGCAACCACCAGUAUGGGAACGCUUAGUCAAGUGCCCAUGGCACCUUCUGCGGCUGCUAUGGCUGCUGCUCAGGCAAUUGUUGCUGCACAAGCUCUUCAAGCACAUGCUGCUCAGGCACAAGCACAGUCUGGAAAAGAUUC